AGGAGGUGGUGCAGGAGGUGGAGGAGGAGGUGGUGGAGGUGGAAAGUUUAAUCAGAAUCCAUAUAGGCCUGCUCAAGGUGAACUUUGGGGAGAAACAACCAUUGGACCCAUCUUUGUUACAAAGAAAAAACCUUGAGCUGAAUUUAUGGUUUCUGCCAAGUUUUAGCAAUAAAGUUGAAAUCCCAAUGUG